ensembl:lncRNA
CCGUGAUACCAGCGAGGUAACAGAGGGAGGGUAAAAAUAGACUACAGUGUUGAGCAUCUCACUGAUUAAACAACGUGAUGCCCUGUAACCUGAGAGCAUUCGUAUCAGACAGAGAACACAUUUUCUUCAAGACGGCUGGAAUAUGGAUAUUCUACACGUAGCCUUGGUGCUGCUAUCUGUGGCCUUGUCGAUCUCUCUAUGCCUCAAUGUGAUCUUCUGCAUCAAGCGAAGAACUAUUUUGUGCAGAGAAAAAAAUGGGUCCUGCUGCCCCCACACUUCUGAAGAAGAAACCCUGUCACACAAUGAAGGGCAUUAUUUUCAUGACCUUAAUCAUCAAGAGCAGAGGGAAAAUCCCCACAAUCAUCAUGAGCAACAGGAAAAUCCAAUCUAUGGCAACAUCAGCACAGAGAGAAGAAGUUCUGCAGAGGGUUGCUAUGAGAUGAUGACCAUGCAACGCACAAGAGAAAAUAAGAAGCCUUUCCAGAAUGACCUGAACUAUGCCUCACUGGACCUGAAGACUGCAAAGAAACGAAAGAAGAAGCAUCGCCAUCAGCAUAGCCAGUCACAGGGACGAAAUCAUUUCCCCGAACAGCAGUCAGUCCACCACACACCUCCUCUGAAUACAUUCUUGGAGGUGGAUGCAGACAUGGAUGCUCAUCUUCCGUCCAGAGACACCAGCACCAUGGUUUCACACAGCAGCAUCUACCUCAACAGUCAACAAAUAGCUCAACAGACAGAGGAAAUGGAAAGAGAAAAGAAUCUGACACUGGAGAGGAAUGUUGGUUGGAAUAGUAUGCGAAGGCGCGAUGAUGGAGGAGAUCAAGAGAGUGAAGAAAUGAAAGAUGAACAAGAGUGUAACAAUGGGAAUUUAUGUGAACAGCUUUCAGAAGUAGAAACCAUUCAGAGCUGCACAGAUCCUUUUAUUGGUAACUUUAGCCAGGAUGGUCACCAGCACGGUUAAACAAACAUAUCAAGUUUUACUGUUUCAAACUGUUUUGAACUGAAAUCUAUAUCACCUGAAAAAGACUUUUUGGUUUUUAUAUUAUUUUAUUUUAUUUUAUUUGCAAAAAACAAACUACUGUCUAUUACUACAGCUGUAAAAUGAAACUACGUCAUCUUCAAUAUUCAAACUGCUUGCAGGGUUGAGCAAUUUCCUCUCCGAGGCAGACAAGAUGAGGUCUCCUCAUUGAGCAACAGAGGAAGAAAAGUGUACCUUUCAUGCAGAGGGUGUAAUAAAUGUAAAUAAAGCGAAAAGGAAACUCUUUGCGUGACAUUUAGAUGUCAAGGCCCAUGUGGAAAAUUUUCAGUUUAUUGCAAAAGAUGAGGAAAACACCAAAUCAUCACAGGCCAUGGAAGAACUCUCACUGUUUUUAUGUCUCAUCAUCAUAUAUUACCAGAUGUCUCAUAGAAAGGUGUGAAGAAACUAUAUCUUACAUUUGUUUUCCACGAUGUGGGCGCUGGCUAUAUGCUGAGAGGGAAUGUUUCACUGAAAAACUCGACAUGCCUCAGCAUAUGUGAAACCGCCUCUCGAUAAUGCUUAGAGUGAAGAUAACAUUAACGUGAAGAUAACGUUUAAAAAACAGUGAAGUAAAAACAAAAAGGGGGGGGAAACUUUAAGUGGGACAUAAGUGAUGACAUUUUGCUUUCCCUGUGGGCACAUUGCUUUGUUGUAAAUGUCAACCAUGUAGGAUUUUACAUGUCAUGGUUAUGACAAUGGUCGUUACUUUAAUAAUCUAUUGCACAUAUGAGCUAAUUUGCCAUCUGCUUAAAUGAUUAUUUCCCUCACUGUAAUCCCUUGGCAGGAUAAUUUACUGCCCUGCUAUCUGCCGAGGGAAUUGAGCUAUGCAGUGAACUCAGCAGUCAGAAGCCUGCAGCCCACUCUUUGUUGACAGUUUUUCAAUAGCUGACCAUGGCCUACUUCCCCUCUAUGGAUUAAAUUUUGGCCUUGGGCAUUUUGGAUGCAACUCUUGCAGACAUAUGGGAAUGUCACAAAAAAAACUUUUCACGGAUAACACCGUUAGUAACUGUCAUGUAUGAGGACAUAAAGGCAGUCAUUUAUACAGGAUGUUUUUGCAUAUAUAUAGAAGUUGUUGUAAUUAGAAGCAGUUUAUAAUUUAUAUAUAUUUUUCCCAAAGGUCUGCCACAAUUUUUAAGAAUAUGGGUAUCAAUCUUAUACUGUAGCCUAUUAAGUUGCACUGGGCAUUUCCUGGGUUACUCUAUAAAUAAGUAUGAAUUGACAACUUAGCUUUUAGAUCCAUCGCAAUUGUAUAAUUGAAAAAAGAGAUAAAGCUUUUAAUGUGCUCUGAAAUCUAAUAUGACAUGAUGAGAAGCAAAAGGAAACGCACUCAUCUUUACAGAGACAAAGGAAAUGAUACUGUUUUAUACUAUGCUCUUAGAUUAAACAUACACACCAAGUACCAAAGUUUAUGACUGGGUUACAGUAAAGUAUUAAAGGAAGGUUGACAAUGCAGGAAAUCAUUAAACUACAUAACGUCUUCAUAAUAAUGAUUUAAAUAAUUAAAUGAUUGUGCAGUCCACAAGAAUGGCUCAGCCAAGCUGACGCUCAUUUUGAGGGCCCUGCGGGAACUGUGUUUUACUGCUGACUUAUCUUUCAUCAAGUAGUAAGAAAAUUUCCUUGAGGUACAAUUUCAAAGGUAUUUGUCUGUCUUUCAGCAAGGUUCUGCAAAAAUCUGCAAAAUUGCAUAAUGUAGCUGUGAGAAGACAGAAAAUACAAAAGAAGAUUAAUUUUUUAUUGAAAAAAUAACAAAAAAAAUAAAAAAAAAUAAAGUAAAAAAAGCAUUUAAUUAAUAGCAAUUAAGAUAUGACAUUGGCCUUCAGUCUCACAGUACAAAUUUGUGGUUGCAUAAUCACAACCCCUUAACGCCUAGUGUAUCGUAUUUGAUACAUACAGUUUUUUUGUGACUUUUUAAACUGUAAUACCAGAUGUAGCAAUACAAUACAAAUGAAACACCAUAUAUGGAAAUUAAAAUGUAAUUAAUUUAUAAACAAAUUUGUCAGAUGGCUUAAUAAACUCUCCGUUUUCAAGAAAUUAGAAUUUUCUGCCAAUUGUUUCAUAGCUCAGGCUUUAAAGGGUUAAUUUCACCCAUGAAAAAGCAAUGCAGCAAUUCUCUUUCAGCUUGUAGUCGGGCAUGUGGUUUCUUUGUAAGAUUGCUAUCAUUGUACAGUUUGCUUAUGAUGCCACAUGUGACCUGCAGUAAUUGGAACAGGUGUUAUUUUUAAGUUGCUUAUUUGUUUCAUGUAUAUGUAUGUGUGCGAAGAGAGCGAGAGGAGGGGGGAUGAGAUGAAACAAAGAUUACCAGACAGAUAUGAAAUAUAAAGUGGG